rnacentral:rRNA from 1 species
AUUGAACGCUGGCGGCAUGCCUUACACAUGCAAGUCGAACGGUAACAGGUCUUCGGAUGCUGACGAGUGGCGAACGGGUGAGUAAUACAUCGGAACGUGCCUAGUAGUGGGGGAUAACUACUCGAAAGAGUGGCUAAUACCGCAUGAGAUCUGCGGAUGAAAGCAGGGGAUCGCAAGACCUUGCGCUACUAGAGCGGCCGAUGGCAGAUUAGGUAGUUGGUGGGAUAAAAGCUUACCAAGCCGACGAUCUGUAGCUGGUCUGAGAGGACGAUCAGCCACACUGGGACUGAGACACGGCCCAGACUCCUACGGGAGGCAGCAGUGGGGAAUUUUGGACAAUGGGCGCAAGCCUGAUCCAGUAAUGCCGCGUGCAGGUUGAAGGCCUUCGGGUUGUAAACUGCUUUUGUACGGAACGAAAAGCCCCGGGUUAAUACCCUGGGGUCAUGACGGUACCGUAAGAAUAAGCACCGGCUAACUACGUGCCAGCCGCCGCCGUAA